ACACUCGGGGGCACCACUGACAUGAGUCACGGCUGUGCUCGUCCUGCCUGGACCCGACUGGCUGAAGGGCACAAUUCAACAUCUCCCCAGGCGUAAAAUUCUUGCCUCACGAGCAGGGGUACCCAGGGCCGUCCCUUCCUAUCAGGUUGUGCUUUUAUUCGGUUCCACGCACCUACACCACUUCUCCAUCUUUUCCUAUUGCUCACUUGGGUUUUUCUCUGAACGCCUAUGUUGGUAGGAAGUUGCAAUUUGGGGUUGUGUUUUCUAUUCUUUUUUUGUUCUCAUUAAUUCAUAAAUAAUGACAAGGGAAGUUUCGAAAACCCCCCAGCUCCUGUUUUGCAAGGAGCUUGAAGAACAGCAAGAAGAUGGUUGUGUGCAAAGGAAGUAAGAGAGUUUGUUGUGGAAUAUUGAAAGCAGGAAAAAGAUCCUCUUCAUUCUCAUACUGGCAAAGGAUCUGAUGAAAUGUAAAAUUGGAGCAUUUAUUACAUUGGGAGACCUUUACAAAGUUGGACUUUGAUGAAGAUGAUGAGUGGCCAGUCCUGCCUCAGAGUCUCCUCUGAUCUGUGGAAGCCUGGGCUGCUCCACAGAAUGGUCCCAUGCCUCGACACUGGUUUAUCAUCCACCAUGACCCCAAGCUCAUGGAUGAGGAAGGAAUACCCAUGGCUGCUACCAUCCCCGCCCCUCUGGCUUCAGAAAAAUCACCAAGCUUGGAGCAUGACUGCCCCAGGAAGAAGGAGAAGUAACUGCAUUGCUCUGCUCAACACAUGGCAGCUUGCUCCUCUCCUCUCCAGAGAACAUUGACCUUCAAGGCCAUACAUGAUUAAAGGAUUGGGAGACAUUCCCUGGUAUUAGCUGUUCCCUCUUUCUUUUUCCUGCUUAAGGUAAGAGCUGCACAAACUCCCUCUAUAAUAGUCACCUAACAGAGAACACAAUGACUAAUCUGUCAUCAAAGUAUUUAGGGACGAUGACGAUACCUACAUUGAUUUUCAGUGUGCUUUUUGUUUUUAUUUCACUGUGAUGUUUCUACAAAAUCCAUAAAUCAUAGGGAUGUGAUAAGAAACAGGUUGUAGUUGCUGGUUAUUCUUGUCCAGAUGCACAGAAACACCCUGAUUGUUACUUUCCAAUGACAACCAUCUCAGGGCUAAACAUUUGUCAGUUGCACAGCCAGCUUUCAAGGUUACACAUAGAUACUGAAUGAAACAGAGCCCACUGGUUAUUUUUAGAGAGGCUCUAAACAAGAAGCAAAUCCCUGGAGCAGUGCUGCCAGAGAUGCAUAAAGUUCAAAUCCAAAUUAAAACUGCCUAUCUUUGGCCUACAUUCCAACUUGAACUUGAGGAAAACUGUGAUCUGUGACUUGAACUUUAUGGCCAAUACUCAUUUGCAAUUAGUUUCUAAUACCUGAGAAUACAUGAACUUGGUACAAACACUUGAAAAAUAGAACUUGAAUGAAAAAUGUAAACACUUGUCCCAAAAUGUAGUACUUGUUCUUGUGAAUUUUGUGUGAGGUUUCAGUAGCUACACUGGGAUUUGGAGAGUCUCGUUUUUUGGGAUUCUUCAUUUCAACACAUCUUUGUAAGAUCAAGUGCUCCAAUGUAAUUGUAAAUUUUGGGGGCAGGAGGAAAAACAUGUUUAUUGAUUGAUCCCUCUAAUAAUGACCUGUGAUGCUCAGGUCUAGCUUUAGCAGUGACCACAACAGAAUAUGAAGAAAGGAAACCCUUUGACAGUAGCAUAUUUAUGCAAAGUGGUGCAACUGAAGCAUGUUCUUGAUUUCUUUGCUGAAUCAGAGCCUGUAUCUUCUUCCUGCCAAGGCAGAGAUCUAAUACCACUCCUAAAUGCCCUAGUAAUUCUAGAAGCACUAACGAAAGUCAAGAUAACACCACAGAUUUUAUAAAUAAGGGUCUUUAUUUAGAAUACUGGUGAAAACAUUCUUGGCAACCACAUCGUAUAAAUAUAUAAAGUUAAAGUUUGACACAACAAACCAAGCAAUAUUAAAUAUUUUUAAAAUUUU